rnacentral:rRNA from 1 species
AUUGAACGCUGGCGGCAGGCUUAACACAUGCAAGUCGAGCGAGCGGCGGACGGGUGAGUAAUGUCUGGGAAACUGCCUGAUGGAGGGGGAUAACUACUGGAAACGGUAGCUAAUACCGCAUACCAUCAGAUGUGCCCAGAUGGGAUUAGCUAGUAGGUGGGGUAAUGGCUCACCUAGGCGACGAUCCCUAGCUGGUCUGAGAGGAUGACAAGCAACACGGGAACUGAGAGACGGUCCAGACUCCUACGGGAGGCAGCAGGGGGUAAUAUGGAACAAUGGGAGCAAGCCUGAUGAAGCCAGGCCGGGUGUGUGAAGAAGACCUGCGGGUUGUAAAGCACUUUCAGCGAGGAGGCGUUACUCGCAGAAGAAGCACCGGCUAACUCCGUGCCAGCAGCCGCGGUAAUUC